rnacentral:lncRNA from 1 species
UCACAAUCUACCCAUAUUUGGAUGAAAAAAAACAUUAGCUUCAUCAUCAUCAACGAAAUUUUCGUGAAGGAACUAAGAGUGGUUGCCUGAUAAAGCAUUCAUUCCGCUACUUAGGAAUCUGCGCCAAGGGGAACUAGCGAUGAAUUUUCAUCCGAGCUGUUCCCAUUUCACUCGUUUCCGGAAGAUUGGAUUGAAAACGUGCGUUUUGGUACUCUGGUUGGCAGGUUCCCGGUUAACAUUUCUGGAUCCACUAGGGCGAAGGUUUAUUACCGCAAUCCGUUAUCCAUCGUGGAAAACUCGGCUCCAAAUUAAUGCAAUGUGGAAUAUGUCUUUGAUAUUCAUUGGCAUUUCAGUGGCACGAAUCUUCAAUCUAUCAUAUUGAUUAAAGUUGUAGAUUCAAUAUUGAUUCAUUAAAUAAAUGAGAUAUGUACCUACUA